rnacentral:rRNA from 1 species
UCAUAGAGGGUGAGAAUCCCGUCUUUGACAUGGAACUACCAGUACAUUGUGAUGCGCUCUCAAAGAGUCGAGUUGUUUGGGAAUGCAGCUCAAAAUGGGUGGUAAAUUCCAUCUAAAGCUAAAUAUUGGCGAGAGACCGAUAGCGAACAAGUACCGUGAGGGAAAGAUGAAAAGAACUUUGGAAAGAGAAUAAACAGUACGUGAAAUUGUUGAAAGGGAAACGCUUGAAGUCAGUUACAUUGAUCAGAGAUCAAUCCUGCUAUUAUUGCAGGGUGUACUAUCUGGUUAAUGGGUCAGCAUCAAUUUUGACUGUUGGAAAAAAGCAAAGGGAAUGUAGCAUCCCUGUUGAUGUGUUAUAGCCCUUGGUUGUAUACAACAGUUGGGAUUGAGGAACUCAGCAUGCCGCAAGGCCGGGUUUUAAAACCACGUUCAUGCUUAGGAUGCUGGCAAAAUGGCUUUAAUCGACCCGUCUUGAAACACGGACCAAGGAGUCUAACAUACCUGCGAGUGUUUGGGUGGAAAACCCGAGCGCGUAAUGAAAGUGAAAGUUGAGAUCCCUGUCAUGGGGAGCAUCGACGCCCAGACCAGAACUUUUGGGACGGAUCUGCGGUAGAGCAUGUAUGUUGGGACCCGAAAGAUGGUGAACUAUGCCUGAAUAGGGUGAAGCCAGAGGAAACUCU